rnacentral:rRNA from 1 species
AUCUACCCAGUAGUGGGGGACACUAGUGGAAACGCUAGCUAUACCGCAUACGCCCUACGGGGGAAAGCGGGGGACCUUCGGGCCUCGUGCUAUUGGAUGAGCCUGCGUAAGAUUAGCUUGUUGGUGAGGUAAUGGCUCACCAAGGCGACGAUCUUUAGCUGGUCUGAGAGGAUGAUCAGCCACACCGGGACUGAGACACGGCCCGGACUCCUACGGGAGGCAGCAGUCGGGAAUAUUGCGCAAUGGGGGAAACCCUGACGCAGCCAUGCCGCGUGUGUGAAGAAGGCCCUAGGGUUGUAAAGCACUUUCAAUUGGGAGGAAAAGCUAAUGGUUAAUAGCCAUUAG